rnacentral:lncRNA from 1 species
GAGCUGUUCUCUCUGUAAACCCUCCACCUUCCCUCUGCAGGCACCUGCCCCUCAAGCGAAGCAAUCUUUUUUUUUUUUUUUUCUUUUUAAGAGAUUUUAUUUAUGUAUUUGAGAGACAGAGCGUGAGCGGGGAGAGAGGCAGAGGGAGAGGGAGAAGCAGGCUCCCUGCUGAGCAGGGAGUCUAGCGGGGCUGGAUCCUGGGAUCCCAGGAUCAUGACCUGAGCCGAAGGAGGGCUCCAGGCCCCCUGAAGCUAAGCAGUGCUUACCUCCUCUUCUCUUCUCCCAUGUCAUUUCCUCCAGAAGCGUCUGAGCCGUACGAAGGAUUCCUUUCCCUUGUUGGAUGAGGACGGGGUUCUUGGAAGCAUUCAUGAUUUCAUUUGAUUUCUUCUUUGUCACCUGUGUGAAGUUGCCCAGCGGUCCUUGGUCUCCUGUUGUGGCCGUGGAAUCACCAGCACGUCCUGGUCCCCAGAUGAUUUAAUGCUUCGAUGGAGAGUGCUUUGAAAAGAACUCUUGCCCCCCCCCCACCGUCCCCAGCCCUUCAGCAGGUUAGUUUAGCUUAGUAAUUAGCAAUCACAAUAUGAGCUGGGAUAAUUAUCCCCAAAAGUCAAAAGAAAAACACAGAUG